GAUAAGCGCAUCCGCACACACAGUAUACCCAUCCCCCACCCCUGACUGACUUUUCAACGAACUCCGUUGACACUGGUGGUGACUUCAACCGUCACUUUUCUGUCAUGCAUCUGACUGCAAGCUGUACAAACUCUGCCGUCAUCAUAUCCAAGGCAGUGAGUUGUGAGGACUGCUUCCCUGAGAACACUGAGUGCAUUCUGGAAUAUUCCAAAUGUGUGCCACUUCCAUACAAAAGAAGUUUCAAUCCCGCAAGAGAGUUCACUCACCAGUGGGCUCCAUCAACAGACCAGGGCAAAGUCGGUCUGUCCUGCUACUACUACAUGCUACUUGACUAUGUCUGGAAGCCAUGGCUGCUGCCCUCAACAUGCUAAACUGAAACCCUCACAAAUAAACUGAUAUCAAUAAUUGGUGAUAACAUAACAUUGAUGGUGAUGGUGGCAAGGGUGCCUUCAUAAGGUGCCAUCCAGCAAGUCCCAGCCUGAGGCUGGCACUGCACGUCAGAUGGGGGAGGAUCUAUGAUCUAUGUAUGCAUCAGAAAGGUGGUUUAAGCAAGAAGGAAAGAGCUUCUGCAGACAGUGUUGCAAUUAGACACCUGACUUUUACUGCCAAAGGGACCAUCAGAGCACCUCUCCCUACCAUCUAUACCAGAAGAGUACGGACAAGGGCCCAAAAUGUUUUAAAGGACGUUGCACGCCCAGACCAUGGACUGUUUAAACCACUGUGGUCAAGCAGAAGUCUCUGUUCUCACUCGAGGCAGGUCAUUGAGAGGGGGCGAGUGUCACUGCGUAAGCCCCCUACUGCAGGCGAGAAAGCCAUGUUGAUUUGAAUAUUGAUUGAUAAAUACAAUAAAGACCAUGUAACAAA